ACAAAAGCUGCAGUGUGGCAGAGACUUGGAGUUUCCCCAGAGAGCUUCGCCCUGGCUGAAUGAUGCAGUGAGCCCGAGCAGACACUGCUGACGACUUGGUGCAUUAGAGUGGCGAUACCAAGAAGCAGUUUGGAGGCAUUAACAUCCCCACCUCUACUACCAGAAGACUUUGUGACAGUUGACUUUUUCACACUAGAAAGCAGCAGACUGCUGGAGAUCCUACAUCAGCUCAGUGGAUCUUGCGUGAUUAAUCACCAAAGUGCCAAAUGGCAGCCCUGUGCUAGCAAGACCUGAGUGCGCAACACUUCUUCGCUAUGGCUUGGCCAUGACUUAACAUCUGGAAUUAAGACUCAAGUUGAAGGGGUCCAUGCUCCUUUGGUAAGGCCUUCUUGGUGCAUGUACUGUGCCAUUUGGGGGGCUUUUGCACUCCUGAAGCAAGCGCUUCAUUUCAGUGGAACAGUGAAAUUUAGGGAGUUAGUGGGUAGCACUUCGGAGUGUAAUGGCAGCACUUUCUUGGCCAGUAGCCCCAGGCUGGGAAAGUCAGUUCCAGGAAAAAUAAAAGAAGUAGAAACUUACUUGCAGGCUGACAGCAAAAAUCAUUUAUUGUGGGAAAGCUAAGCUUAAACCUACUAAAAACCCAGUAAUUUCUGUCCCUCCCUUCUUGCCCCAGAAACACUGACACAUGGAGAGAGAACUUUCUGAAUUUACUUCCUUAAAUAUGUCAGGCACCUUGGUCCUGAAACUACCCCUCCAAGCCCAGAGAGACUAUGGGGGAAUGUUGCACAGAAAUUAAUGCAGCUCUUAGUUUCUGCUCUUCAAAACACCUGGUGUGGCCAAACCAAAUCCAGCUUUAAACAGGAGGAGGGCAUUGGCAAGAUACUUCCAGUUACAAGGCCUUAAAUCUUUAGUUUAUCCUCUGUAAGCAAGAGUUCUCAUCUGAAAACCUUCUAGUGGCGCAGAGCUGCUUUUUAUACUUUCCCAGCCUUUUUUUAUGUAGACCAGAGGUUGAUUAAAUCCAUGCCAUUGUAUCGGACACCACAGUUACAUCUGAGUGGCGCCCCUGUUUAUAGAAAUGAAUCAGGAAAGUAGCACUUUAAAUACUUGUCCAUGCUAAACUAGACACACUAAAAACUGUUCAGAUAGAACGGGGUAUAAAUGUUUUAAAAAUAUAAAGGUAAAGUCUUUAAUAAAACACAUUUCUGUAGACUUGAAUUCUAGUUCCAUUGUCUGUAUUUAGAACAAAUGUAUUUUUUCCCGGGGGUGGCUGUGAGAGGGGCGCCGGAUGCCUGCGCCUGAUUGCCGUCUGCCAGUAAUAGAACUAUUUGUAUGUGGCUAGGACAGGUUUCUUUUUUAAUAAAGUUUUUGCAGACUGAGUGACACCAAAUAAUAGGAAUAUGUAGGCAGAAAACCACGCAAUAAGCACCAGGACCUGGAACAUGGUGGUGUCAGUGGUUAGAGAACAAGCUCUCUGCUAAAGAAGUAUUUAGAAAACCACGCCUGCAGCUGUGAUAGCUGCAGCUGGAAAGCGGCUGGCACGGUCCUUGCGCCGUGCACAGAGCGCCACCCGCUGCCUCUGCGGUGUGGAGCCUUCCUCUCCUGCCCGCUCUUCCUCUUUCGCUAAUGCGGGUAUGGACACACAGACACACAGAGCACACUGUUAUAUACGAGACCCUUUCCUCAGGAAUGCUUACUUUCUUUAUGAUUAUGGAAAUAGGCUGAAAUUCUGCAGAUCCACGUGGAUAGACUUGCCGAAUGUCACAGAACCGCUGAGAGGUCCAGUUCUCCGCUCAGCCAGCGCCAUAAGAAAAGGUGAGGGAAGGGAAACAGUAAGUAAAGGAGCGAUGUUUUCAGCUGAGGUUACUGCACUGAGUUACAAAAAUACCCUGAUGGUUAGGUAACUCAGCAAAUGGACUGUCAUCCACUGCUAAUUUCAUUUUCCCUGCUCAGUUGAGAAGAAAUGUUUUCUGUUCACAGCAGAAAAUUUUUAUAUUCAAACUUAAUCAUAUUAAUUUCUGAAAUGAAUUAAGUCUCUGAUUCAGGUUUUCAGACUGAGCAUGCAUUGGUUAUUUUGAAUAGAUCAUAUGAACAGAAGAAAUUGUUAGCUACCUGUUAAAACACGCUGUUCACUUACGACAAUGUUAUAAGGGGUUAUGGGAAUGUAUAAUAACCGAGUCCUUUGUGGCCGUACAGAUAGAUGCAAUUCUGCCUCACUGCAACUCUGCCAGAAAGGUAAAUGUUACUUCAGUUUCCUGGAGAGGAAAAGGGGAGCUCCCGUGUGGCUAAGUAUAGUUACAUGUCAGCAUCAUCUGCCACCAGAUGACUAUCUGGAUAUUACAGAAGUGACGUGAGUUCAGCCCAUGUUCUUCAGUAGGGGACUCCUGCAGAAUCUUGAUUUCCUCCUGCGAACCUCAGAGGCCCUGCGUGAUGACUUGCUCUGCCUGAGGAGAUCUGAGUGAAAUCUAGACAGAAGACUGCAAUUUCCAUCUUGAACUUUGCCUACAGGGAUCAUUUCAGAUCCUCUCUCUUGUCAGUACUGGUAGCUCAGCUCUUUAAUUUGGUGUUGUAUAAAUUUUUUUGCCAGAGCACAGAUAAAUAAAGUGGCCGUCCCCUUUUAGGGGCCAGGCCUUGUGGGUUCCCGAAAAGGACAAUUCCUAUUAAGGUCAGAGAGUGCGUAGCUGGGGAGAAGGCAGCCUGACAGCCCUGGCAUGUGGUCUGGGAGCUGCAUGAAAGAAUGCCGCAGCUGGCUUUAGUUAAGGGAGUAGUUGUGUUACCUUUUGAUUUUUAUAUUUGCGGAAUAAAACAGAGCUCUGAGAGAGGAACUUGAAUAGAUGGGGGGAUACGCCGCUGGCUCUUUCUCUGCUGGAGACAGAGACGAGCAGCUUACACAAACAAGUCUGCUGCAAAUUUACAGGAACCUCUACACUUAACUGCCUCAUUUGUGUUAGUGUUUGACAAUUUUCCUAGCUUUUUAAACAACUAACAUGACAGUCUGUUGCUACAACCUGUGUUGCUGAUGAUGGGUAUGUUUUGGUGGGAAGGAUCCUCUCUGUUUCAGGCACCUCCGUGCUGUUGUGCACCCCGAGCUGUGCUCCCUGGGCAGCAGUCUCUAAACCAGUGGUUAUUCCUGCAGCAGAGGUUCUUGCUGUCAUGUGGCAGACUCACAAGUAAAAUCAGAGAUACUUUGAGCGAGCUUUACCCAAGCAAUAAAUUGUCUUAGAGAGAUGGGAUCAGAGUCAAGAAGCAAACAUAGAUAAAUAUUCAAAGCGAAAAGCUACGUUAGUGACUCAUCAGUUCUUAAUUUGAGUUCUCUGAAAGAGGCAAAAGUCCUACUUUGUACAUUCUUACAAGAAAAGCUAACGAAAAGAAUGAAUGAGGACUAGACAUUCAAGUUUUCCUCACCAUAUUGUCCUUGACAUCCUUUGUGGAAGAGCAUCCAGUGAAGGUGACUACUAAAGAGUUUGAAACGCACUUAUCUACACUCAAGUUCUCAAGGAUUCCUCUCAAAUCUCAGCAAAGACGCAUCUUGUGAAGGCCACUUUCAGCGCAGAGUCAUAUAUAUUCCACGUGUGGUUUACAAGCUCAGUGCCAAACAUCUACACCCAAUCAAGAAGGAAGGACAAACUUCAGUUCAUAUUGGGUACUGCAUUACAGCUUGAGAUUUCGCCGUUAUAUAGGCAUCUGGAUCAGAUAACUGAACUGUGCACUUCUGCGGUCUUUAUUUAUCUGUCAUGUAUUUCAUGGAAAUGUGAAGCAAAUUUUUAAAGAAAAGAUAUUGUAUAAUCAGGUAUCUUCAAACUGCAGUGCUGCAUUAUCACAAAAUAACGACUCAGAUUUGAGAGGGAGUUGUUUUAUGACAUCUGCUGCGUCCAUCAUUUCCUCUUUCUGCUGACCAGAAAACUAAUGAUAAUCUGUGUGAAACAGAAGUUUCUAUAAACUCUACCAUUCUUCUCCUGCUCCAGAACAAAGCAACCCGGAAAAAGGCUGCUAGACUCUGCACUCAAAUAUCCUUCGUUUAGACACAGAUUCAUAUUGAUCUUUUACAGAGACUGUAUUUGUGUUUGUCAACAGUAAAAGGUGUUCUGUACUUUUAUUAGCCAGGUCCUAUCAUUCAGUAAUUUCUCUAACAAAAUUCUGCUGGUGCACAGACUUCACAGCCCUUUUCCAUCACGCUCAUUGACUCCCUGUCUUUGGUCAUCUUGUUUGACAGCUUCUCUCAGACCCAUGCUUUCCUAUUUUGCAAAUAGUCUUCUUCCUGAACUAGUUUGUAAAGUAAUAUUCUCUUCCAAAUCAUGCCCUGGGGGUUACCUCUACAUAAUGUUUACGGGAAAACACCCAGCCACUAUCAUUAGCAAUGUAUCAGAAGCUUGGUUAACAGGUUUGCAAUUGAUUUCUUUACACAAUUUAGACUCGCUGAUUGUUUAGGCUUAACUAUCUUCUUGACUUUGGUUUAUCAAACAGUCUUACAUCCUCACAGAGAAAUGCCUCAAUGGAUUCUUGUUCAUACUAAGGAUAAUUUGGGCAGGUUAAUAAAAGAAAAAAGAAUUGUCAUACCUAGAAAAGCUGACUUUUUAUAUGGCAAUUAUAUUUAGGGUUACAGCAUGAUGUUGGAAGGCACUUAUUUCAUUAUGAAAAUUAAAACAUUCAGAGAAAAUGGACAGUGAUGUGACCUUUUACAAAGAUACCUGUUUUUCUGUCCAUAUUUACUAAUCCAGGCUCCUGGUCCAUACGGACAGUCUAGCAAGCUUAGUCAUAGGAGCAAAAAUCUACCUAACCAAUAAACUCUCCAGCAUCCCCGAAAUAAUCCCAGGCUAUAAUAUUAAUGGAAAAAAAAUGUAGAAAAGCAAAGAACACCAAAGUAAAUGUAAGAGGAAACAG